rnacentral:rRNA from 1 species
AUUGAACGCUGGCGGCAUGCCUUACACAUGCAAGUCGAACGGUAACAGGCCGCAAGGUGCUGACGAGUGGCGAACGGGUGAGUAAUGCAUCGGAACGUGCCCAGCCGGGGGGGAUAACUGCUCGAAAGAGCAGCUAAUACAGCACACGAACUGAGGGCGAAAGCCGGGGACCGUAAGGCCUCGCGCGAUUGGACGGGCCGAGGUCGGAUUAGCUAGUUGGUGGGGUAAAGGCCUACCAAGGCAACGAUCUGUAGUUGGUCUGAGAGGACGACCAGCCACACUGGGACUGAGACACGGCCCAGACUCCUACGGGAGGCAGCAGUGGGGAAUUUUGGACAAUGGGAGCAAGCCUGAUCCAGCAAUGCCGCGUGCAGGAAGAAGGCCUUCGGGUUGUAAACUGCUUUUGUCAGGGAAGAAAUCUUCUGGGCUAACACCCCGGGAGGAUGACGGUACCUGAAGAAUAAGCACCGGCUAACUACGUGCCAGCCGCCGCCGUAAGAC